GAUGAACGCUGGCGGCGUGCCUAAUACAUGCAAGUCGAGCGAACGGACGAGAAGCUUGCUUCUCUGAUGUUAGCGGCGGACGGGUGAGUAACACGUGGAUAACCUACCUAUAAGACUGGGAUAACUUCGGGAAGCCGGAGCUAAUACCGGAUGAUAUUUUGAACCGCAUGGUUCAAAAGUGAAAGACGGUCUUGCUGUCACUUAUAGAUGGAUCCGCGCUGCAUUAGCUAGUUGGUAAGGUAACGGCUUACCAAGGCAACGAUGCAUAGCCGACCUGAGAGGGUGAUCGGCCACACUGGAACUGAGACACGGUCCAGACUCCUACGGGAGGCAGCAGUAGGGACUCUUCCGCAAUGGGCGAAAGCCUGACGGAGCAACGCCGCGUGAGUGAUGAAGGUCUUCGGAUCGUAAAACUCUGUUAUUAGGGAAGAACAUAUGUGUAAGUAACUGUGCACAUCUUGACGGUACCUAAUCAGAAAGCCACGGCUAACUACGUG
rnacentral:rRNA from 1 species